rnacentral:rRNA from 1 species
UGGGGAAUAUUGGGCAAUGGGCGCAAGCCUGACCCAGCAACGCCGCGUGAGGGAAGAAGGUCUUCGGAUUGUAAACCUUUGUCCUUGGGGACGAAAAAAAUGACGGUACCCAAGGAGGAAGCUCCGGCUAACUACGUGCCAGCAGCCGCGGUAAUACGUAGGGAGCAAGCGUUGUCCGGAAUUACUGGGCGUAAAGGGUGCGUAGGCGGUCUUUUAAGUCAGAUGUGAAAUAUUCAGGCUCAACCUGAAGGGUGCAUUUGAAACUGGAGGACUUGAGUGCAGGAGAGGCAAGUGGAAUUCCUAGUGUAGCGGUGAAAUGCGUAGAUAUUAGGAGGAACACCAGUGGCGAAGGCGACUUGCUGGACUGUAACUGACGCUGAGGCACGAAAGCGUGGGGAGCAAACA